CCAACAUUGUUUUUGAAGAGAGCCCUGGAAGAGGGCUUUUUAUAACUUGUUAUCUACAUUGAGUGGAUGACUUAGCGCAGCUGAUGUCAUCAGAGUUGUCACACAGAGGUUCCCACAGUGAUUGGAGUGGUAUAAAUGUGUGGAUGCUCUACUUCAGUCAAGAGUAAAUAUUUCAACAGUAAUCCCUAGAGAGCUACUGUACUUUUGCUCAACAGAAGACAAGAUGGAAUGCCAAUGGUUACACUUUUGAUGUGGUGCAAAGCAGAAAUUUCAUUCCUUUUUAAACUACUACUAUACCCUGCUAAACUGUUGUAUACAGUCCUUCAUUGUGCUCAAGUGUUGAACGUGACAUUUGCAAAGCCAUCAGACCAUAGGAUUAUCUAUAUAUGGUCCAAAGAUCCAGCUUUCCAAUGCCUAUGGUCCAUUAGACUCACCUUAAAAGUUGCUAUGUGUUGAUGCGCCCAACUCUUAUCUGGGGUGAAAUCCAUCCUCCUUGAAGGUAAACCUGAAAGGAAAUAAUUAUGUCUGGAGCGAGAGAAGUGCGUUAAAUCAACCAACCUAUCUGAAGGAGCAAAGAUAAACACACUGCGCGGUGUUGCCUCCAGUAACACGCUUUGCUGCAUCCAUAUGCAAAAUUCUCAUGUCAGAGAAGCAUUAUCAUUUGGGUUCCCCAGCAAGAACCAUUCACAGAAGGACAUGAGCAAAGUUUAUAAUUAUGUUGUUGUGAAAAAAUGGUCGUUGAAAAAAAAAAAAAAACCAAAACACUGGAAUCUGUAAACAAGGAUAAGAGCAUGCAAUCCAAGAACAAGGUGAUGUCUUACCAUGAGGAAUUUUUCUUUACACUAUUCCUGUUUUUUCUGAUUUGACGUGUGAGUGUUUCUGAAAUUCCCUCUAACCUGCCUGUACAGCAUUUUGGUGUGAUUACAUCCCUGUGGAGCCUGGGGGGGUCUGGGUUGGUUCCCCGGCUCUGUCAGAAGCUGCCAGUGUAACCAUGAGCACAUGGCAUCAUUCCACUUGCAUCUCACUGAACCAUUCAGAGGACAGAUGUAUUCUCUUGGUGCUGCCUCACUGAAGUGAGGGGUGACAACAUUGCCUGUGAAGCUAUAUCAAAACCAGGGCACUUUAAAGCCCUAUGUAAACCAGCCCUGGCCUCAAUUUAUUUUCAUACAUUAGCCAAAAAUGGGGCCAGUGCUGAUGCGAGUCAGAGCUGAGUCACCUCUUCAUAAAUUCUUAGAUAUGUGGUUUAGGUGCUUUAAUCCUUCCUCAUAACUCAGCUCUCCUGGAUUACCCAUCACUUUGACGUCUCCUCCUUGAAGACAUUCCAGUUUAUCUAGAUACUUUUUGGUAAUUGAGGGCCUAGCAGUGAAUGUAAUUUUGUUUCUCAAUAUAUUUUCUAAAUCCUAAUUCAAAGCAUUAUGGUUUUAUGUAUGCAUAUAUAUUCUAUUAUGUAUUACAAUAUAUCAUACUAUAUAUAAUGUGAAGAAUUUGCCU
ensembl:lncRNA